GGGAGCUCUCCCAUAUGGUCGACCUGCAGGCGGCCGCGAAUUCACUAGUGAUUGUAUUACCGCGGCUGCUGGCACGUAGUUAGCCGGGGCUUCUUCUGGAGGUACCGUCACCCUCUGGGCUAUUAACCCGAGUGGCUUCGUCCCUCCUGAAAGCGGUUUACAACCCGAAGGCCUUCUUCCCGCACGCGGCGUCGCUGCGUCAGGCUUUCGCCCAUUGCGCAAGAUUCCCCACUGCUGCCUCCCGUAGGAGUCUGGGCCGUGUCUCAGUCCCAGUGUGGCUGAUCGUCCUCUCAGACCAGCUAUGGAUCGUCGCCUUGGUGGGCCGUUACCCCGCCAACAAGCUAAUCCACCGCGGACCCAUCCUCGGCCAGAGGCCGAAGCUACCUUUUCCCACGUUCCCCGCAGGGAUGUGGGGCUAUCCGGCAUUAAUCCGGGUUUCCCCGGGCUAUUCCGGUGCCGAGGGCAGGUUAUCCACGUGUUACUCACCCGUUCGCCGCUGUCCCCAGGGCCGAAGCCCUGGUUCUCGCUCGACUUGCAUGUGUUAGGCGCGCCGCCAGCGUUCGUCCUGAGCCAUGAUCAAACUCUAAUCGAAUUCCCGCGGCCGCCAUGGCG
rnacentral:rRNA from 1 species